UACAGAGGAGCCAAGCGUUGUCCGGAUUGACUGGGCGUAAAGCGCACGCAGGCGGACGCGCGCGUGGGGUGUGAAAUCUGGCCGCUUAACGGCCAGGCGCCAUCCCAUACGGCGCGUCUGGAGUGAUGCAGAGGUCGGUGGAAUUGCCGGUGUAGUGGUGAAAUGCGUAGAGAUCGGCAGGAACACCCAGGGGGAAACCAGCCGACUGGGCAUCUACUGACGCUGAGGUGCGAGGGCGUGGGGAGCGAACCGG
rnacentral:rRNA from 1 species